CCUGGUGAAGGGGCAUGGACAGCCCUGGGAGCACAGGUGCAAGCAACUCACCUAACCUCACUUGAGGGCUGGCAGCAGAAAGGGACACAUCUCUAUAUGGGGAUUGCCUCCUUUGGGAGUUUCUGACAAGCCCUAAUCCUUGGAAAGGGACAAUUAGGGAGAGGAAGUGCUGGAGAGGAAACUUACGAAAAUCUCAUGAGUGAGAAAAUG